GACGAACGCUGGCGGCGUGCCUAAUACAUGCAAGUAGAACGCAGUUGCGAACGGGUGAGUAACGCGUAGGUAACUGCCUCAUAGCGGGGGAUAACUAUUGGAAACGAUAGCUAAUACCGCAUACUGUGAGAUGGACCUGUGUUGUAUUAGCUAGUUGGUGGGGUAAAGGCUCACCAAGGCGACGAUACAUAGCCGACCUGAGAGGGGGAUCUGCCACACUGGGACUGGGACACGGCCCAGACUCCUACGGGUGGCAUCAGUGGGGCAUUUUCGGCAAUGGACGGAAGUCUGACCAGGCAACGCCGCCUGAGUGAAGAAAGUUUUCUGAUCGUAAAUCUCUUUUAGUAGGCGAGCGUUAUCUAACCAGAAAGGCACGGCUAACUACGUGCCAGCGGCCGCGGUAAUUC
rnacentral:rRNA from 1 species